GCAGUCGAACGGCAGCACAGUAAGAGCUUGCUCUUAUGGGUGGCGAGUGGCGGACGGGUGAGGAAUACAUCGGAAUCUACCUUUUCGUGGGGGAUAACGUAGGGAAACUUACGCUAAUACCGCAUACGACCUUCGGGUGAAAGCAGGGGACCUUCGGGCCUUGCGCGGAUAGAUGAGCCGAUGUCGGAUUAUCUAGGUGGCGGGGUAAAGGCCCACCAAGGCGACGAUCCGUAUCUGGUCUGAGAGGAUGAUCACCCACACUGGAACUGACACACGGUCCAGACUCCUACGGGAGGCAGCAGUGGGGAAUAUUGGACAAUGGGCGCAAGCCUGAUCCACCCAUACCGCGUGGGUGAAGAAGGCCUUCGGUUUGUAAAGCCCUUUUGUUGGAAAAGAAAAGCAAUCGGCUAAUACCCGGGUGUUCUGACGGUACCCAAAGAAUAAGCACCGGCUAACUUCGUGCCAGCAGCCGCGGUAAUACGAAGGGUGCAAGCGUUACUCGGAAUUACUGGGCGUAAAGCGUGCGUAGGUGGUUGUUUAACUCUGUUGUGAAAGCCCUGGGCUCAACCUGGGAAUUGCAGUGGAUACUGGGCGACUAGAGUGUGGUAGAGGGUAGUGGAAUUCCCGGUGUAGCAGUGAAAUGCGUAGAGAUCGAGAGGAACAUCCGUGGCGAACGCAGCUACCUGGACCAACACUGACAC
rnacentral:rRNA from 1 species